AUGACAAGGUCAGGUUCCUUUUUGCUAUUUUUGCAAUGACUUUUACCUUGAACUCGUACAGCUAGUGCUCUGUCCUUACACUCAACUGGAUCAACCUGCCAUAUGAAAAAAAAAAAAUUACACUUUUAAAUACCAGUGAAAAAGUGGAGAUUUGAUAGUUCUUCAUUUAAGCAGAUUGGGAAUCUUUUUUUGUAUCCCCUCUGACUCCCAUUUGAAAGGACAGUCAGGUAUUUCCUGAAGAAGCAAGCAGGUGUCUACAGUGGUGAUGAGCCAUUAUUGAAAGCAGCUACAGGUCAGAGGGAGCAAUUUGUGAGCAGGAGUCCGGACUGGAUAUGGGAAGGAAGAGUCUGCUUAUGAUACCACCAUGAAUAAGCUUGGAAAAGGCAGAAGCAAGGCAGGUGUGAACUGGCUCUAAAAUGCAGAGAGGAAGAUUGGUCAGAAAUUACUUCUCAGUAGACCCUGUAUUAUCAAUCCAUGCCAAUUUUUCUCAACCCAUAAAAAGAGUUUGCAGGGGCUCAAGAUGAUCUAAAUAGUAACCCCAGUCAUUUAGAGAACUCUCAUGUGUUUGACUGUAUUUCCUUCUCCAAGUUUGGCAAAAUGUAAUCUAUAGCUUUCAAGUAGCGCUCUUCCAAGAAUUCACCUCAAGACUAGAAGCACCAGUACCACGAGUCCUGUAAGAAUUUCUUUCUAAUGAGAUUUUCAACUGUGAUGGCAGAUUAACAGCAUUAAAACACGACUACAGACAACUGUUGCCAAGCAGUUCUGCCUAAUUACGUCCACCUGAGAUUUCAGUGGAAUGACUGAAAAGGUCUAAUUCCUACAGAACUCAUUUCUAUUCUGGACUUUGUUUAGGCAUGUCUAGCAGGGGACAAGAAUGCUUUCCCACUCACAGUUCAGGUUGCAGAGUUUUGCUCCUGAAUGUGUGCCAACUCCAAGACAGGACAAGAAAUGGGUGUAUGCCAUCCUCCACCUGACCUUGCUUCUCUUGAAGAGAAAUCUGUGUUUGUGAAUAGCAAAGGAGAUAAAGUAAUAAUGGAGUAAAUAAUCAGGUCUGCACUACAUAUGCCAAAGUGAGAUGAAAUGUAAAACGAUUUUCUGCUUUCCCUUACUUCUAUCAGACCAGAGUUUAUGGAGGCUAGAGGAGAUGCAUUUUUUUCAUAUAACCAUUUAAAGUGCUAAACCAUUUCGUGGGGAACAUUUAUUACUGUCAUCAUAAUCAUUUCACUCAAAUCCUAUAAAUACUACUGGAUUCCCAUUGAUGUGACAGAUUACAGUGUAACCCCCUAGGACUGAAAGAAUAUCAUCCAAAGGGAGGGGAACCCACACCAUCUAAGCAAAAUCUGGAGGAUAUAAAAACUAGGAUAAAAAUAACUGUAAAAUACACCAUUUUUACUGAGACACAGAUUAAACUAGGUCCUCUGUCUGUCUAGAAAAGUUGCUUAUACAUGUACUUUAUCUGAACCAAUGAUUUUAUAAUCAGUUUACAUUAAAUGGAACA